GUGAGUGGUGAUCAAUGCUAAGAUCUGUCCUUUUUGCCAUGACAAGGCACUCCGAGAAGGCAAAAAGGUUGAAGUGACUGGAUUCUUAGACAUCGGGAUAUCUGUUGGAGCAGCUAAAAGAAUGACAUCUCACACUUGUGGACUGAAAAGGAUGCAAAAUUACUGCUCGUCUAUUUUAUCACUGUCAGUACAUUUUCAAAUAAACUUUCUAGAAAUGGAGAUGUGCUUUGGUGACGAGCAUACCCACCAUGUGUAAAGUUUAGUAGAAUUUCCCGUGUCUACCUAACACAGCAUAUUUUAGAUGGCUGCAAACAGAAACUAUUGCAGAAGUCCUUAAAUAGUCCCAAGAUGUAAAGCAACUGGUCAUGAAAUAUCCACCCUCAACAGCCUUGGAAACAAGUAAUACGGCCAGCUGUGAUGAAUAAUCUGGGGGAAACUCACUCUUAUCUGCUACACCUGGGAGUCGCACGAAACACAAUUAUUCACAGAUUGCUGUGGAAGAAGAUCCAGCUAGCUGGUAAACUAUGGAAUUUUCUUAUAUGAAGAGAAUUUCUGAUUGCAAAAGAUGUGAAACCGCUUCCAUUCUGCAGAUAUUGGUUCCAGAGGAGACAAUGCUUCUACCUGGAGGUAACACGAACUUCCAACUAUCCCCUUUUGGGCUGUGGUGCCCACUAUUCAACAGGCUGAGAAAGAAAUCACAUUGUUAACAGAGGUGAUUGCUAGAGACUUCUAGGAAGAAAUGGGAGUGAUCCUUCACAGUGAAGGUAUGAGAGUGUAUCUGGACUGCAAGAGAUCCUUCCAGGCAUCUUUUAGUGUUACCCAUGUCUGGUGAUUAAGAUCAAAGAGAAACAGCAACCAUAUGAUAAGCAGGCUGAAGAAUGGUCUAGAAUUUUCAGGAAUUACAAUGUGGGUUAACCUUCCAGUAAAGAAUAUAGAUUUGCUGAUGUGCUUGCUAUGUGUACAGGAUAUACAGAAUACAUAGUAAGAAAAAAAAAGUAGUUAUAAAUAAAAGACCAGCCAGACAUGUGAUCAGUUAUGGGACCAGGAUUGUAAUUACCACAGCUGGUUCAUUUUGUAACUACACUCAUACAUUGGGCAUAGAGUUGUGUUUUCUUUCCUCUACUAUUGUUUUACUGUGUCUUAUGACUUUGAUAGAGAUUAUUAGCAAUUAAGUGUAGCCAAAAGUAUAUUAUUGUAUUUAAUUGUGAGAUAUUAUAAGAGUAAGUAUUACUCUACCAUUUUUUACAUCUGUUAUAAGGAAAAUAAUAUAAUUUUGACUGGAAUAGUUAUGUUAGAUAGAAUUAUGAUCUUCAUUUGAAAAUAAUAACAUGAGAUCUGAUGGGGUGUAACAUUGAAUAGGUGUGGACUUGUGAUAGUUAAUUUUGAUUGUCAAUUAGAUUGGCUCCACAAUCAAUUAAUGGACUUACUUCUUGACGGACGUGUGAUUACAUUUCCAAGAAGGAUUGUGCUAGGUGAGAAAAUCUUGCCCCAGAAUGGGUAGUACAUUUUGGCAGCAGCCCAGACUUAAAACGGUCUAAGGGAAAAGUACUGCUUACUUACUUAGAGGGUGCAGCUACUUCUUUGAAAUUUCCACUUUUCCUGACAUCAGACUCCAACUCCUUCAGGGUCCAAUAUUGAUUUAAUACAACUGAUUCCCCAAGAAUCUUUGACUUAGUGCCAAAUUGGGACUGCUGCAAAACUCAGAUUUGUACACUGAGCAGCUACCAUGAUCUUACAUUCGAGCAUACAAAUGGAUAUUAUUGAUUAUCUAGUCAAUAUUAGGUGUAAACACUUAUUGCUUCUUCUUUGUAAUACAUAUGUACAUUUUAUUUAAAGAGAAACCUAGCUAAUUCAGUUUAUUAGUGUGUUUGUGUCUCUAUGUUUUUGUGUGUAGGUCAGAUGUAUUUAAAUUUUAAUUUAGUUGUAGAGUUAUUAAACUAUCACCAUCCACUCUUCUAAUAUUUUCUUUGAUUUGGAUUAAACAAGUUCUCUUUGGUUCUUUUCUCUUGCAUAGCUAUGUAAAAAUGGAAUUUCUUUUACUUUCCAAUUUUCUUUCUAAAAAUAUGCCUGCUGUAUAAGAAAAGAUUCAUUAAACAUACUUUUCUAAAAGAAUUAAUUUAUAUUUUAUUACCAUUAGGUAUACUUUUAUAUUGUUACACACAGAAACACACACAAACACAUCCUGCUGAGCCCAUUUAGUGUUACCAGAUAAACUUCUGUUUAGGGUUGACCACUUAAGAUUGGAUAAUCUACCAAGAGCUUGUCAAUAGAGAAGAUAGAUUCUCCCUCUCUCAGCAUCCAUUGAUUCCCUGCAGCUCUUCACUAAUGGACAGGACCUUAUAAAAAUCCCAUGUAUACAUAUUAGCAUAUUGACUGACGUUGUUAUCUUCCAUACCUUGUUUAGGUAAGCUCAUUGUUGAGAUUUCAUGGGUACAGUCUAGAAGAUACCAUCUCUCUUCUGCCACCCUAGUACUCUGGU